AGGAGCACCCGGCAAGGGGCCGCAGGAGAGAAGCCCUCGAGCUUUCGUCGGUGCUGGUGCUGCCGCCACUGCCGCCACCGCCGGGAAUCACACGGGCUCCUCGGUCCCAGGCUGCAGCUCUUGUUGCCAUGAUGAUGAUGUCACGGACGCAACCACUGGGGGGAGGGGAGAGGGGGGUGUGUGUGGCGAAGGGAGGCUGCGAGUAGUGCGGGGGAGGGGGCUCGGCGGGAAAAGGAGCGAGAGGGCGGGCGCCCGGGCGGGACACGGAGGGCGGGGGCCGAGAAGGGGCUUUCUCCCCCUCCCCGGGCACGCGGCGAGGGAGGCGGCCGGCGGCCGGCAGCGCCCGCGCGGGAUCGAUGACUCGGCUGGCGGGCACGGUCACCUGGGUGAGGGGCAGCGGAAGGGGCGGCGGAGCACCGAUCUCAUGGAUGGGCUCCGAGGGGCUUGCGGGAGGGGGGCGCCAGUGUUCGGGGCCGUUUUGGCGGCUAUGCAGGAUUGGCAGGAGCUGCGAUGCUCACACUUGCCUCGCCGACCGCCAUUUCACAUCCAGCAGAGGAGGCGGGGGCAGCCGCUGAGACGGUUUUUCACAAGGUGCAUUUUAGUGGUUACCAGGUUGCCACGUAUUUGAAGUGGUGUGAGAGCUACUCGUUUGGAACCGUUGUGGAUUUUCAAAUAGGAAAAUCAAAAGGCCCAAAGAGACAGCUCACUGGUGACCAUGCUUUGGGAUUUUCAUAGUUUGAGUAAUUCCUAUGGGCUCUACCACCCAGCGAGUUAAAGAAGACAAGAUUCCACCCCCAGGGGGUUGUGGUUCUGGGAAUGUGAGCAGCUUGUUUUCAGGAGAUCUGCAUCUUGAUCUGGCCUGCUAUUAGGAUCUGUGGUGGUGGUGCCUGUCUGGUUUUAGUUGUUUCUUUUAUCUUACACAGAUUUUUGUAAGUUAUUUGCAUAUAAAGGUUUUUGAAAAGUGAAUGUUUUAUGGGGGCAUCUUGCUUAUACAAAGAAAAAUUAAAACUGUUUUAAAAUAAUCACUCGUGUUACACUUGUCUAUUCUAAAAUAAAUGAAAGUAUUAAUGUUGUUGUCUGGAAGGAAAAUGAAGACCAGGAAAAUAGCUAUGCUCUUAAUGUUUUAAAAUAAGGUAAUAUUAUUCUCUGUUUGAAUGGAGGCUUCUAAGGAAUUACCACAGUCUCACACACAAUCGACUUAAAUGCAUUCUUUAUCUUUAAAAGGAAGCAGAAUAGGAUCAUUGAGUAAAUCACAUGUGUUCACAGUCUUGUCUGGUGUAAUCGUAUACUACACAAACACAUUAUUCUGUAGUCAGGAGGGGAAGGGGACAUUUGAAGCAGGACUUGCCCUUGAGGAGGCCUUUUUCUGUUUAAAGUAUAGUGCAGUGAAAGACCACACAGUAGAAGAUAACAAAAUAUCUUCCAUGCCACCCCCACUUUUUCAUUUUCUCAUUCUCCUUUGUUCUCUAAGGACAUCUGUUGAAAUGAUUAUUCUGUAAAACUCAUAGGUACCUAGCAGAAGCCAUAUCAUAUUUCAUUUAUUAUUUUGUCUACUUAAUUAUUGUUUUCUUUUAUAUCAUGCAAUUGUGGGUUUUAAAAAUAUUCUGUUUAUAAAAGAU
rnacentral:lncRNA from 1 species